CGACGUGGGUAACCUGCCUCAUACAGGGGGAUAACAGUUAGAAAUGGCUGCUAAUACCGCAUAAGCGCACAGUACUGCAUGGUACAGUGUGAAAAACUCUGGUGGUAUGAGAUGGACCCGCGUCUGAUUAGCUAGUUGGUGAGGUAAGGGCUCACCAAGGCAACGAUCAGUAGCCGACCUGAGAGGGUGAACGGCCACAUUGGGACUGAGACACGGCCCAAACUCCUACGGAAGGCAGCAG
rnacentral:rRNA from 1 species